GGAGUAAUUUCGUUCGGCUAAAACUGGGGCGCGUUUGAUUUGAUGUAGUGAACGAUUGAGAACCCAAAUCCGUAGAAAGUAAGAGAAGCCUUGUCCACACAAAUAGUUUAGCGAAUACUAGGUUGGUGUUCCGACAGAGAAAACUUAGGAACUGUAAACCGGGAAGACAACCUUAAUCUAAAUGAACAGGUGACGGUUUGAUAUGAAUCAUAAUGGUGUACUUGUAUUCGGAAAUGGCGAAACUACGGUGCUUCAGUGGAACACCUCUACUACCUUCACGCAACCAGUUGCGAAGGAAUCACGGCCUUCAAAGGCACUCAAACACUAAGGUGCCCAAAAGCAUGAAGAUUUAUGCAAGUAUGAACAAAGAAAGUGAAAGUGAAACCCCUCAGAUGUUGAAAAUAGUGGUGAGCGGAGUGACAGAGCUCUUGAGGGUUUUUUCUCCUUCUUUCGAUCAAGCAAGCUUUGAGAAACAGAGAGAUGAAUUCCCAAUUUCGACCGUCGAUGAUGUUCUAAGUAUCAUCAAAUCUGAUUACGACAACGCCUAUUUCGUAACAGGGAACUUCACUUCUUCAAUUUAUGCUGAGGACUGUAUGUUUGAAGACCCAACUAUUAAAUUUCGUGGUAGGGAGUUAUACGCACGAAACCUGAAGUUGCUUGUUCCUUUCUUUGACCGUGCAUCUAUUAUACUACAAAAUAUUGAGAAGGAUGUUGAAUCCGACAGAAAAUUUGUGCUGGCAUCUUGGAAACUAAGGACCAACUUGAAGCUUCCUUGGAGGCCACUGAUUUCUAUUGAUGGAAGCACAAUUUAUGAAUUAAAUGAAGAUUACAGAAUUGUUAGACAUGUUGAGAGUUGGAAUGUUUCUGCAGUUGAAGCAGUUCUUCAGAUUUUCUCCUUAAACUCGGGUGGUUGAUAUGUUGAGUUUCAUGAAAUCUUCGCAUUCAUUCAUCAAAUGGCUCUUUUGGACAGAGUCACUUGGUACUCAUGGAGAAGUUUUUCUGAACAAACUCUAAAUUUGUUGCAUUGGUCAUACUUGCCUGUACCUUUAAGAAGUAUGGAGUGAUUCAAAUCAUCAGUUGAUGGAUCAGCUUUAUUAUUUGUACCACAAGACGUGCAUCUGUUGCUAUAAUGGUGGGGUGAGAUUAGUGUUUAGUGCAGAGCAUCUCUAGACCAUAAGUUCAGCGUCAUAGUGCUGUUAGCAGAACAAAUUUUUCUAUGACACUCCAUUAUCCUUUCCCUCCACUCUGACCACUGCAGCACAACCAUGAAGUUCAAAAUCACUUUUUACUGCCUUUAAAGCUUAAAUGAAUUUUCUCUUUACACUGAAGUUUGACCCUCAUUCAUAAUAGCCUAAUAGCCCAUCCCCAAUCUUUAGUAGAUUUAGUAUGAGUACUUGCUCAGUAGACCAAUUUUAGUUGCAUUUGAGAAUUAUGAAGGCUUUGUACUUACUU